rnacentral:rRNA from 1 species
GAUGAACGCUGGCGGCGUGCCUAAUACAUGCGAGUCGAGCGAACAGACGAGGAGCUUGCUCCUCUGACGUUAGCGGCGGACGGGUGAGUAACACGUGGAUAACCUACCUAUAAGACUGGGAUAACUUCGGGAAACCGGAGCUAAUACCGGAUAAUAUAUUGAACCGCAUGGUUCAAUAGUGAAAGACGGUUUUGCUGUCACUUAUAGAUGGAUCCGCGCCGCAUUAGCUAGUUGGUAAGGUAACGGCUUACCAAGGCAACGAUGCGUAGCCGACCUGAGAGGGUGAUCGGCCACACCGGAACUGAGACACGGUCCAGACUCCUACGGGAGGCAGCAGUAGGGAAUCUUCCGCAAUGGGCGAAAGCCUGACGGAGCAACGCCGCGUGAGUGAUGAAGGUCUUCGGAUCGUAAAACUCUGUUAUUAGGGAAGAACAAAUGUGUAAGUAACUAUGCACGUCUUGACGGUACCUAAUCAGAAAGCCACGGCUAACUACGUG